UACGUAGGUGGCAAGCGUUGUCCGGAUUUACUGGGCGUAAAGGAUGCGUAGGCGGACAUUUAAGUCAGAUGUGAAAUACCCGAGCUUAACUUGGGUGCUGCAUUUGAAACUGGGUGUCUAGAGUGCAGGAGAGGUAAGUGGAAUUCCUAGUGUAGCGGUGAAAUGCGUAGAGAUUAGGAAGAACACCAGUGGCGAAGGCGACUUACUGGACUGUAACUGACGCUGAGUCAUGAAAGCGUGGGGAGCAAACAG
rnacentral:rRNA from 1 species